CAGUGGCGUAUAUUAAAGUUGUUGCAGUUAAAAAGCUCGUAGUUGGAUCUCGGGUUGUCGACUGUGGUUCAGGUUCAUGCCUGUUUACUGCUGUCGAUACCUAACUGGUGGGAUGCUGUGGGUGCCCUUAACUGGGUCGCCUACUGCACCCGCUCAAUUUACUUUGAAAAAAUUAGAGUGUUCAAGGCAGGCUCACACGCCUGAAUAAUGGUGCAUGGAAUAAUAGAAUAGGAUCUCGGUUCUAUUUUGUUGGUUUUCGGAACUUGAGAUAAUGAUUAAGAGGGACAGACGGGGGCAUUCGUAUUGCGGUGUUAGAGGUGAAAUUCUUGGAUCGCCGCAAGACGAACUACUGCGAAAGCAUUUGCCAAGAAUGUUUUCAUUAA
rnacentral:rRNA from 1 species